rnacentral:rRNA from 1 species
UACGAAGGGGGCUAGCGUUGUUCGGAAUUACUGGGCGUAAAGCGCACGCAGGCGGAUUUAUAAGUCAGGGGUGAAAUCCCGGGGCUCAACCUCGGAAUUGCCCUUGAUACUGUCUAUCUUGAGUCCGGGAGAGGUGAGUGGAAUUCCUAGUGUAGAGGUGAAAUUCGUAGAUAUUAGGAAGAACACCAGUGGCGAAGGCGGCUCACUGGCCCGGUACUGACGCUGAGGUGCGAAAGCGUGGGGAGCAAACAGG